AGCUUUGUGCAGUGGCAGUAUCAUAGCAAUGAGGUUUAUCCGAGGCGCUAUUAUUUCUCAUUUAAAACUUUUCCCAAUACUCCGCCAUGACGACUUGAAAUAAGAGCAUUGGCAAUUUUUGACAGUCUCUACGGAGA
ensembl:snRNA U4 U4 spliceosomal RNA